UACGUAGGGUGCGAGCGUUAAUCGGAAUUACUGGGCGUAAAGCGUGCGCAGGCGGUUGUGUAAGACAGAUGUGAAAACCCCGGGCUCAACCUGGGAACUGCGUUUGUGACUGCAAGGCUAGAGUACGGCAGAGGGGGGUGGAAUUCCUGGUGUAGCAGUGAAAUGCGUAGAUAACAGGAGGAAAAUCGAUGGCGAAGGCAGCCCCCUGGGGCGAUACUGACGCUCAUGCACGAAAGCGUGGGGAGCAAACAGG
rnacentral:rRNA from 1 species